UGGAAGAUCAUCACAUGAGAGUAAACAAUUUAUUUUGAAAUUAAGCAGGCCACUAACAGUACAAGAGGGGUCAAGAAGUAUAAAACUCUUUUCAAGAAAUGAUUAUGUAGAUGAUUACAAUAGGAAAUGUCUUAAGCAAUUUUCCCGGAACAAUAUUUGAGUUUCAGUCAACUGACACUGGAAGAGCAAAAGAUCUUGCCAAACUUACUGCUCCUUGGCUAUUAUGGAUAAAGAAAAGCUGCCCAGUUAUACUUCUGAGGAAUUUGUCUAAGACUCUUGUCAAUGGACUGAGUGGUUACGUUUGUGAAGUAGAUGAUUCUGAACCAGUUAUAAAUUUUCCAUCAGUGAACCUGGUAACAAGGAUAUCGAAGGUCAAAUUUACAGUUUAUAGCCAGGAGCUGAAUAAAGACAUAGCUGUAAGGGAGCAAUAUCCUUUGAAGCUUGGAUUUGGCAUCACCAUCCGUAAGGCACAAGGGAUGACAUUGAAUAAAGACAUAGCUGUAAGGGAGCAACAUACUCUGAAGCUUGGAUUUGGCAUCACCAUCCGUAAGGCACAAGGGAUGACAUUGACCAGGUUUGGCAUCACCAUCCAUAAGGCACAAGGAAUGACAUUGACCAGGUUUGGCAUCACCAUCCAUAAGGCACAAGGGAUGACAUUGACCAGGUUUGGCAUCACCAUCCAUUAGGCACAAGGGAUGACAUUGACCAGGUUUGCAUCACUAUCCGUAAGGCACAAGGGAUGACAUUGACCAGGUGGAGGUUGACUGCAGGGAUUUAUUCAAUGCCGGUCAGCUCGCUGUGGCGAUGUCUAGGGCAACUGCAUCUUCUGGUCUCCGAGUGAUGAACUUCCAACCCCGAUAUAUCAUUCCCC